rnacentral:rRNA from 1 species
UACGAAGGGGGCUAGCGUUGCUCGGAAUUACUGGGCGUAAAGCGCACGUAGGCGGUCUUUUAAGUCGGGGGUGAAAUCCUGGAGCUCAACUCCAGAACUGCCUUCGAUACUGGAAGACUUGAGUCCGGGAGAGGUGAGUGGAACUGCGAGUGUAGAGGUGAAAUUCGUAGAUAUUCGGAGGAACACCAGUGGCGAAGGCGGCUCACUGGUCCGGUACUGACGCUGAGGUGCGAAAGCGUGGGGAGCAAACAGG